AUUGAACGCUGGCGGCAGGCCUAACACAUGCGAGUCGAGCGGAUGAAGGGAGCUUGCGCCUGGUUUCAGCGGCGCACGGGUGAGUAAUGCCUAGGAAUCUGCCUGGUAGUGGGGGAUAACGUCCGGAAACGGGCGCUAAUACCACAUACGUCCUGAGGCAGAAAGUGGGGGAUCUUCGGACAUCACGCUAUCAGAUGAGCCUAGGUCGGGUUAGCUAGUUGGUGGGGUAAAGGCCUACCAAGGCGACGAUCCGUAACUGGUCUGAGAGGAUGAUCAGUCACACUGGAAGUGAGACACGGUCCAGACUACUACGGGAGGCAGCAGUGGGGAAUAUUGGACAGUGGGCGAAAGCCUGAUCCAGCCAUGGCGCGUGUGUGAAGAAGGUCCUCGGAUUGUAAAGCACUUUAAGUUGGGAGGAAGCGCAGUAAGUUAAUACCUUGCUGUUUUGACGUUACCAACAGAAUAAGCACCGGCUAACUUCGUG
rnacentral:rRNA from 1 species